UACGUAGGGUGCUAGCGUUGUCCGGAUUUAUUGGGCGUAAAGGGCUCGUAGGCGGCGUGUCGCGUCGGGGAGUGAAAGCCCGCUGCUUAACGGCGGGUUGGCUUCCGGUACGGGCAUCGCUGGAGUGCGGCAGGGGAGACUGGAAUUCCUGGUGUAGCGGUGGAAUGCGCAGAUAUCAGGAGGAACACCGGUGGCGAAGGCGGGUCUCUGGGCCGUUACUGACGCUGAGGAGCGAAAGCGUGGGGGAGCAAACAGG
rnacentral:rRNA from 1 species